GCCUACGGGGGGCAGCAGUAGGGAAUUUUCGUCAAUGGGCGCAAGCCUGAACGAGCAAUGCCGCGUGAACGAGGAAGGUCUUCGGAUCGUAAAGUUCUGUUGAAGGGGAAAAAGAGCGGAGAGAGGAAAUGCUUUCUGAUUGAUAUUACCCUUCGAGGAAGUCACGGCUAACUACGUGCCAGCAGCCGCGGUAAUACGUAGGUGGCGAGCGUUAUCCGGAAUGAUUGGGCGUAAAGGGUGCGUAGGCGGCCUGCUAAGUCUGGGGGGAAAGGUACCGGCUCAACCGGGACAGGCUCUGGAAACUG
rnacentral:rRNA from 1 species